rnacentral:rRNA from 1 species
UACGUAGGGGGCAAGCGUUGUCCGGAAUUAUUGGGCGUAAAGAGCGCGUAGGCGGUCCGGUAAGUCGGUUGUGAAAGUCGGGGGCUCAACCCUCGGAUGCCGAUCGAUACUGUCGGGCUAGAGUCCGGAAGAGGCGAGUGGAAUUCCUGGUGUAGCGGUGAAAUGCGCAGGAUAUCAGGAGGAACACCAAUGGCGAAGGCAGCUCGCUGGGACGGUACUGACGCUGAGGCACGAAAGCGUGGGGAGCAAACAGG